UACGAAGGGGGCUAGCGUUGUUCGGAUUUACUGGGCGUAAAGCGCACAUAGGCGGAUCUUUAAGUCAGAGGUGAAAUCCCAAGGCUCAACCUUGGAACUGCCUUUGAUACUGGAGAUCUUGAGUCCGGGAGAGGUGAGUGGAACUGCGAGUGUAGAGGUGAAAUUCGUAGAUAUUCGGAAGAACACCAGUGGCGAAGGCGACUUACUGGACACAUAUUGACGCUGAGGUGCGAAAGCGUGGGGAGCAAACAGG
rnacentral:rRNA from 1 species